rnacentral:rRNA from 1 species
UACGAAGGGGGGCUAGCGUUGCUCGGAAUCACUGGGCGUAAAGCGCACGUAGGCGGCUUGUUAAGUCAGGGGUGAAAUCCUGGAGCUCAACUCCAGAACUGCCUUUGAUACUGGCGAGCUUGAGUUCGGGAGAGGUGAGUGGAACUGCGAGUGUAGAGGUGAAAUUCGUAGAGUAUUCGCAAGAACACCAGUGGCGAAGGCGGCUCACUGGCCCGAUACUGACGCUGGACGGUGCGAAAGCGUCGGGGAGCAAACAGGG